rnacentral:rRNA from 1 species
UACGAAGGGGGCUAGCGUUGUUCGGAAUUACUGGGCGUAAAGCGCACGUAGGCGGAAUGUUAAGUCAGGGGUGAAAUCCCGGGGCUCAACCCCGGAACUGCCUUUGAUACUGGCAUUCUCGAGUCCGGAAGAGGUGAGUGGAAUUCCGAGUGUAGAGGUGAAAUUCGUAGAUAUUCGGAGGAACACCAGUGGCGGAGGCGGCUCACUGGUCCGGUACUGACGCUGAGGUGCGAAAGCGUGGGGAGCAAACAGG